GACGAACGCUGGCGGCGUGCCUAAUACAUGCAAGUCGAGCGAAUGAAUGGGAGCUUGCUCCUGUUCGUUAGCGGCGGACGGGUGAGUAACACGUGGGCAACCUGCCUGUAAGACUGGGAUAACUUCGGGAAACCGGAGCUAAUACCGGAUAGUUUCUUUCUUCACAUGAAGAAGGAUGGAAAGACGGUUUUGCGGUCACUUACAGUUGGGCCCGCGGCGCAUUAGCUAGUUGGUGAGGUAAUGGCUCACCAAGGCGACGAUGCGUAGCAGACCUGAGAGGGUGAUCGGCCACACUGGGACUGAGACACGGCCCAGACUCCUACGGGAGGCAGCAGUAGGGAAUCUUCCGCAAUGAACGAGAGUCUGACGGAGCAACGCCGCGUGAGUGAAGAAGGUUUUCGGAUCGUAAAACUCUGUUGUCAGGGAAGAACAAGUACCAGAGUAACUGCUGGUACCUUGACGGUACCUGACCAGAAAGCCACGGCUAACUACGUGCCAGCCGCCGCAGUAAAAC
rnacentral:rRNA from 1 species